GGUGUGAUGGCCGAGUGGUUAAGGCGACAGACUUAAGUGAUAUCAUUCAUAUAACUUCUGUUGGAGAGAUCCGCGCGAGUUCGAACCUCGUUCACACCA
rnacentral:tRNA from 1 species